UACAGAGGUCUCAAGCGUUGUUCGGAUUCAUUGGGCGUAAAGGGUGCGUAGGCGGCGCGGUAAGUCGGGUGUGAAAUCUCGGAGCUUAACUCCGAAACUGCAUUCGAUACUGGCGAUCUUUGAGUCCGGGAGAGGUGAGUGGAACUCCGAGUGUAGAGGUGAAAUUCGUAGAUAUUCGGAAGAACACCAGUGGCGAAGGCGGCUCACUGGCCCGGUACUGACGCUCAGGUGCGAAAGCGUGGGGAGCAAACAGG
rnacentral:rRNA from 1 species